UGCCUGCCUGGAAUUUAGCCUCAGCGGCAGGUACCUGGGAAUGGGAUGAGAAAGGCUGAUGUCUUGCCCCUUCCAAGAAGACAGCCCUCUAACUGGUAGCUGAGGGGAAGAGGACGCUCCAUGUUUCAAGCUGUGCCAGUUUGGAGUGGAGUUUCACUCACUGAGUUGUUGGAGUGGAGUGGUCUUGAUUCAGACAUCCAUACAUGUGGCGCUUCAGAGAAGAUUCAUAACACCAGAAGAGUUGCCCAAACUCAGAGCUACAGUACCAGGAGGGACCCACUGAAAGUCUGCCUGACUUCAAUCUUCUCCAGUGGAACAGGUACGUCCUCUCAAGCCCUGGACCUCUCUCUAGUUGAUGGUCCUUGGUUUAUUCUGAGCUGGAUGUCUUUUUCCUCUAGGAAGUUGCUGUGUAGGAUCCUAAUUCUAGUUUAGAGGUAUAUUCUAAAGGGAUUUCUUAAUUGACUUUUUCUACAGACAAACAGAAUCAUGCCCUUUUGAGAGCCCUGCUUGGUUUCUAGUUUGAAGGUACAUUCUAAAGUGUUUUCUCCAUUGCUUUUUCUCCCCAAAUUGAACUCAAUUGGCCUGUCUGUAUAUUUGCAUGAAAAACUGAAGUGUCACUUUCAUAGAUAAAUCAGAGACUGAGCUCCACAGCUCUGAAGAAGAGGGGCAUUUGCCCCUCUCAGCUGAAAGGCACCCCUGGGUGACCAGUGGCUGAAUGGGAGUAUCUGGGGGGGUUGACCCCCAUGACAUAUGGUGGCCCUACAGAGAAUUCCCCCAAAAACAUAGUUCAAAAGUCUAUCUAGGAAACACAUAUAAGACCUGACCACUCUGUGUUUUGGGCCAUCGCAAAGACGCUAGACAUCCAUAGAGAGAAACUGAAAUGUUUAAGAGGGCAAAAAUGACUCAGUGGUGAAACACUCGAAUCCUGCCCACAAUCAGCACACAUUGAUCCACCAUUACUAAACCCUAAGCCACAGUUCAGAUACACCUUUUAAGGAAAAAAAAGGUAGGAAACAAUCUAAGAAUGAAGAAAGGUAAUGAGAAUGACCCCCUUUCAGGCAUCCCAUUGGUUUUAUGGCACCUCUACUUGCAAGUGUUUGUAAAAUGGAAAGGUUCCAGGGCAUGCCAGCCAGUUUUUCCAGCCCUGUACAUAUUAUGGUCUGUUGUGCACAUUUUAAACUCAUGGGCAAAUUACAUCAAGAUAAAAUCUGGAGUCCAGUGGUUGACCUUCAACUAACUAUAGAGUUUCUGAAUUCUCUAUUUUCUUUUCUGCUGUUACUUUUCUAUUGAGAAAACAACCAGUUUGGAUCCAACCACAUUUUUUUUUAUUUUUUGGUAAACUGGUGAGUUUGUAUUAGUAUCUCAUGGCUAGAGUUCUGAAGUAAAAGCUAUAAGAUCUUUCUAAGAGUGUCUAUGUAUGCAUUUAUGUUUAUACACUGUAUUUGAUGUGUUGUUGCCACAAGGUACCAAAUUGGCUUAAAGUUAAGGAAUAGUCAUAAAUUCACUGAGUAAGCCCAAAUGCUUUUUAAGUCCAUGUCACCUAAAAUCUUUAAUAAAUAACCUGGCUUUAAAAUUAUUGGUAAAGUA
rnacentral:lncRNA from 13 species